rnacentral:lncRNA from 1 species
AGAGGACCCAGGGAGCCUCCCACAGGUGUCCUCCUACCCCUGCCACGGGGAGCCCAUCUCCCGCGGACGUGCAACCAGCCCUUAGGGACCCCUGGCACGGGGUCCGGAUGUGACGUGGGCCGACUUCCGCCUCGGAGGUCUGAGGGAGCGGAGGGCCUCGUGUGGGGGGUGCGUUGGGGUCCCCUGGAAGGAGGCCAGGCCCGGGCCGGCGGCAGCCAGGCAGCAGGGACUUCAAGAACUGGCAGCGGAGGCCUCGGUCUGAGGCGCGGGUCCCUCAGGACACAGAGCAGAGGAGGCACGGGCCAGAGCCACUUGUCCAGGUUCAGCCUGAAUCUGACACCAUGCCCCUAGGGAAGAGCAGCGAGCUUUGGAAGCAGGGAGAAGACCUAUAGGAGGCCCAGGGCCUGGUGGAUGCCCAGCUGUCUGGGGCUGAGGAGGAGGAGGAAGGGGAGGAGGAGGCUCCAACUCCCCCCUCUAUCCCAUCUCCCCCAUACCACCUAUCUCAUCUCUCUCUAUCCUCCUCCUCCUGCUCCUCCUUGUCUU